GAUGCUCCCACUUUAUCAGCAGCCUUCAACGGCCUAACUGUGCAGUUCUCCGAUUUUCUGCUUUUGCUGCGUUUUGAUUUAUCAGAUGACAAACCCUAUUUGGAUACAUAAUUCGCUGUCUAUCUGAUUUAAAAGCUCACUAAUCCUCUGCAAAGAGGAUUUCUUCACUUCUGGGGCUCUGAUUUGGUAAGAAGGAUAAGAUCCUGAGCAGCCACGCAUGACACGGCCCCUCUCCUCCUUAAAGACUAAGAUCCGGGAGGUUCUACUAACCCAUUUUGGCACCCAGAGACUUACAGAAAUGCAUCUAGACUGUGAGCUGAGCUAUGACUCCAUGCCACCCGGGAAGGGGGAAGGAUUUUCUCUCCCAACGCUUUGUUUCUACGGGGAAGAUAGCAGCAGCAACAACAGCAGCGCCCAUGUGGUGUCCGCCAUUUUUUAGGACUCACAACCCAGAGAUACUCACUUUGUAGUGACGUGGCAUGCAAGAGAUCAUGGGAUGGGGGUGUUACCGGCACACCCUCCGCCCUGAUGAGAUCCAGAGCAGCCAUGCACAACACGGGCCCCUCUGCUCAUUAAAGACUAUGACCCAGGAGGUUCUACUAACCCAUUUUGGCACCCAGAGACUUACAGAAGUGCAUCUAGACUGUAAACUGAGCUAAAAUAUCAGAAAUCCAAAACUGCAUGGCCACAACAGCAACUGCGUGAGCUCCUAUAAUCUUCAUUCUCAGCCAUGGAAAACAAACUAUCAAAUGAUGCCUUUUCAGCAGGUUUGAUUGUUGGAGGAAAAUUCCAAAUAAUAAUAGUCAGUUCUCUGUUGAAAUAUUGAAUGUAUCCAAAGUAUAGAGAGAAUAAAGUGAAGAUCAUUUGC